UGGAGAGAUAGCGAAGUGGCUAAACGCGGCGGACUGUAAAUCCGCUCCUUCGGGUUCGGGGGUUCGAAUCCCUCUCUCUCCAUC
rnacentral:tRNA from 1 species